CCUACGGGAGGCAGCAGUGGGGAAUAUUGGACAAUGGGGGGAACCCUGAUCCAGCGACGCCGCGUGAGUUAAGACGUAUUUCGGUAUGUAAAGCUCUAUCAGCAGGGAAGAAAAUGACGGUACCUGACUAAGAAGCCCCGGCUAACGAGGUGCCAGCCGACGCGGUAAUAUGGAGGGGGCAAGCGUUAUCCGGAUUUACGGGGUGGAAAGGGAGCGGAGACGGUGCAGCAAGUCUGAUGUGAAAGGGCGGGGCCCAACCCCGGGACUGCAUUGGAAACUGUUGAACUGGAGUACAGGAGAGGUAAGCGGAAUUCCUAGUGUAGCGGUGAAAUGCGUAGAUAUUAGGAGGAACACCAGUGGCGAAGGCGGCUUACUGGACUGUAACUGACGUUGAGGCUCGAAAGCGUGGGGAGCAAACAGGAUUAGAUACCCCAGUAGUC
rnacentral:rRNA from 1 species